AUUUUUUUUUUUUUUUUUUUGUUUAAAAUGACUUUUGUACUUUUGUAAAUGUUUUUGUUGUUUUUGUAUUUGGUGUCAAAUAAAUAAAACAAUUUUAUGGAAUAGAAGACAGACACUGGUGUUAUUUGUUGUAUGAGAGCAUUCAUCACGUUUCACCUAAAAUAAAGAACUAAAGAGCACAGAUGAAGAAAACACACAAAAAAGACUUGUUUAUUGGAUCCAUUAUUGGAACUUUCAACUUGCGUUUGGAUACCGUAAAAAAUGUAAACAAACUAUCAGAGAUGGCACAUGCCUUAUAAUUAAUAAAUAGUACACUUGAAUUUUAUAAAACGGUAUUUUUUACUUCAUAAUUUAUACAUGUGAUUUCAGCAGAUUUUUAAUAUGUAUCACUUUGAAAUACUUCUACAGCGUUGUGAAAUAAAGAAAAUUUUUUAAAAAAUAA
rnacentral:lncRNA from 1 species